GCAGUAGACGCUGAAGACUUUAGCUUGCUAGAGUUGGAAGAGUUGCGAACGGGUGAGUAACGCGUAGGUAACCUGCCUAUUAGUGGGGGAUAACUAUUGGAAACGAUAGCUAAUACCGCAUAAUAGUGUUUAACACAUGUUAGAGACUUAAAAGAUGCAAUUGCAUCACUAGUAGAUGGACCUGCGUUGUAUUAGCUAGUUGGUGGGGUAACGGCCUACCAAGGCGACGAUACAUAGCCGACCUGAGAGGGUGAUCGGCCACACUGGGACUGAGACACGGCCCAGACUCCUACGGGAGGCAGCAGUAGGGAAUCUUCGGCAAUGGGGGCAACCCUGACCGAGCAACGCCGCGUGAGUGAAGAAGGUUUUCGGAUCGUAAAGCUCUGUUGUAAGAGAAGAACGUGUGUGAGAGUGGAAAGUUCACACAGUGACGGUAACUUACCAGAAAGGGACGGCUAACUACGUGCCAGCAGCCGCGGUAAUACGUAGGUCCCGAGCGUUGUCCGGAUUUAUUGGGCGUAAAGCGAGCGCAGGCGGUUUAAUAAGUCUGAAGUUAAAGGCAGUGGCUUAACCAUUGUUCGCUUUGGAAACUGUUAAACUUGAGU
rnacentral:rRNA from 1 species